rnacentral:tRNA from 1 species
ACCGAAUUAGCUCACGUGGGAGAGCGUUACACUAUAGAUCGAAAAGUCCCUUGUUCGAUCCCGGCUCCCGGAA